UCUGGUGAUCAUAGGUGAGGUGAAACACACGUUCCCAUCCCGAACACGCUCGUUAAGCCCUCAAUCGCCGAUGGUAGUGCAGCCACGCUGCUGUGCGAGAGUAGGUCGUCGCCAGUC
rnacentral:rRNA from 1 species